rfam:Candidatus Blackburnbacteria bacterium RIFCSPHIGHO2_12_FTLL_41_13b rifcsphigho2_12_scaffold_2728, whole genome shotgun sequence.
GGAAGCAGGACGAUUAGGCGCCAACAGCUACACUAGUUGCGGGUGUCAGGAAAGUCCAGACAGCAGGAAGCAGGGUGCCCAGCGUAAGCUGGGGCGGGAGACCGCCAGUAAGAGCCACAGAGACUACGACUCAUUUCUAACCGAAAGGUUGGAAAAAGAGGGUGAAAAGAGGCAAUCCUCCCCGCUGCAACCUCCGAAUGGUGUGUUUGACCGGCUUCCGGGAGCACCGAAGUUUGAGGGCUAAGACAGAUUAUCGUCGAAAAACAGAACCUGGCUUACUAGCUUCC